rnacentral:rRNA from 1 species
GACGAACGCUGGCGGUAUGCUUAAGACAUGCAAGUCGAGCGGGGGAUGUUAGAAGCUUGCUUCUGACAAACCUAGCGGCGGACGGGUGAGUAACGCGUGAGCAACCUGCCUCUUUCAUCGGGAUACCAACUGGAAACGGUUGUUAAUACCGAAUAUGACCACAGCAUCGCAUGAUGCAGGGGUGAAAGGGUUUACUGGAAAGAGAUGGGCUCGCGUCUGAUUAGCUAGUUGGUGAGGUAACGGCCCACCAAGGCGACGAUCAGUAGCCGACCUGAGAGGGUGACCGGCCACAUUGGGACUGAGACACGGCCCAAACUCCUACGGGAGGCAGCAGUGGGGAAUAUUGCACAAUGGGGCGAAAGCCUGAUGCAGCGACGCCGCGUGAGCGAAGAAGUAUUUCGGUAUGUAAAGCUCUAUCAGCAGGGAAGAUAAUGACGGUACCUGACUAAGAAGGCAACCCGGG